rnacentral:hammerhead_ribozyme from 1 species
AUCCGGCUGACGAGCCCCAAAUGGGACGAAACCUGCGUCCUGGAU